UAAGGAAUAUUGCUCAAUGGGAGAAAUCCUGAAGCAGCAACGCCGCGUGGAGGAUGAAGGGUUUUUAACUUGUAAACCCCUGUAAAGAAGGAAAAAAUUCCCAUUAGAUGGGAAAUGAUGGUACUUCUGGAGUAAGCCCCGGCUAACUACGUGCCAGCAGCCGCGGUAAUACGUAGGGGGCAAGCGUUGUCCGGAUUUACUGGGUGUAAAGGGUGCUCAGGCGGAUUUGUAAGUCAGAGGUGAAAUCUCACAGCUUAACUGUGAAACUGCCUUUGAUACUGCAAGCCUAGAGUAUGGAAGAGAGUGAUGGAAUAUCUGGUGUAGCAGUGAAAUGCGUAGAUAUCAGAUAGAACACCAAUGGCGAAGGCAGUCACUUGGUCCAUAACUGACGCUAAAGCACGAAAGCGUGGGUAGCAAACAGGAUUAGAUACCCUGGUAGUCCACGCCCUAAACGAUGAAUACUAGAUGUUGGCUUCGCAUGAAGACAGUAUCUGAGCUAACGCAUUAAGUAUUCCACCUGGGAAGUACGAUCGCAAGGUUG
rnacentral:rRNA from 1 species